UGGAAAAAUAUUUUUCCCUCCCCUCCAAAUGCAAGAAUAAUCUUACAUGAGUCCAGGAGGAAGCCCCUGGAAGCCACCUUUCCACUGUCUACUUCUAUGAGAUUAUUUUGGAUAUUCGUGAUAUAAACUGCCUGACAGCAGGAUGCCUUUCUGUUUCAUCUAUUGAAUUCCCAUCACCUACUACAAACAUGGCUCAUUCCACACUAAGUGUUCUGAAUCAAAAGAUGAACACAAUACAGUGCCAUUCUUCAAGGACUUCACAAUCUACAGUAAAGGGAUAUAGUUAAACAAAUAACUGCAGAAUUGGAAAUUGGAGCUGAUGUGCUUGGAAGUGUUUUGAACAAGGGGCAUGACUGUGACUCUCUCUGCUUUUGCAAACUUCAGGAAAACCUUUACUCACAGUUGAAAAUACAGAACCUCAGGGUGAAGCCCUAACUUCCCACAGCAGAUGUGGUCUAUGAGGAGGAAGAAGCGGAUGCAUGGACCAGUCCUGUUAUGAAGACAAGUUUCAUGGU